rnacentral:lncRNA from 1 species
CUACUAUCUAUGGUGUGGUGUCAGAAUGGAGGCUGGCUGUGAUUUCUAUAGGUACCAACAAAGAGGAGGGAAGGUUUGUGGAUAAUCGGUCUCAUCUGGCUUCCAGGGGCUUACCCAUGACCUUGCCCUGUGCUUUCUAUACUUUAGUGUUUAGAUGAACCAUUGGGGAUCUUGUAAUGUUUUUAAAAAUAAAAAUCUUUUAUUUUUCUUUUUGGUGCUCUGGAUUGAACACAGGGUCUUGUACAUGCCAGAGGAGUGUUCUGCUACUGACCUACGUGGAAGUCUCUGGAGUCUUGCCAGAAUGUCGACUGUGGUUAGGAAUCCAUCUUGUGGAAGAGGGCAAGAGUAAGAAGAUUUGACAAUCACAUCACAGUUAUCCUGAGAAUGUAUAGCCAGUUUAUCCAGGCUGUUGCCAGUACAAUCUAUGAACAGUUUUGACGGUGUUGGCUGUUGGGAUUUCUGAGAAACUGCAGGUAAGAUAACUGCUUU